AGUUUGUUUUUGCUCCUAUUUUUGUUGGAGUUUUCUUAUCAGCUGUUGUGACACUCGAAGGAAAACCAUCAAAUGUCAUACCGAAGUUACAGCAGGAGUGGACUGGUGCAGUGCUAGCAAAUUGGCAGC